AGUGAACGCUGGCGGUAGGCCUAACACAUGCAAGUCGAACGGCAGCACAGGAGAGCUUGCUCUCUGGGUGGCGAGUGGCGGACGGGUGGGGAAUACAUCGGAAUCUACUCUGUCGUGGGGGAUAACGUAGGGAAACUUACGCUAAUACCGCAUACGACCUACGGGUGAAAGCAGGGGAUCUUCGGACCUUGCGCGAUUGAAUGAGCCGAUGUCGGAUUAGCUAGUUGGCGGGGAAAAGGCCCACCAAGGCGACGAUCCGUAGCUGGUCUGAGGGAGUACUCAGCCACACUGGAACUGAGACACGUUCCAGACCCCUACGGGAGGCAGCAGUGGGGAAUAUUGGACAAUGGGCGCAAGCCUGAUCCAGCCAUACCGCGUGGGUGAAGAAGGCCUUCGGGUUGUAAAGCCCUUUUGUUGGGAAAAAAACCCAGCGGGCUAAUCCCCGGUUGGGAUGCCGGUACCCAAAGAAUAAGCACCGGCUAACUUCGUGCCAGCAGCCGCGGUAA
rnacentral:rRNA from 1 species